AGGAAAGUUCUGCAGGUGCCUUGAUGGGGGAGACAGAGCUUCUUUGCAUCAAUGAUGUUACUACUUCAACAUCAGUUGCGGAUGAAACUUCUGAAGAUGUCUUAAUGGGAGAGACUGUUUCAAAGGAGAAAGAAGAGAUGCUUCACCUCCAAGAUACUUCUUUAACACCAGAUUUUAAGCAAAGUCCUGCACAUGCUUCAUUGGAGGAGGCUGAGCUUGUUUGCCUCAGUGAUGCUACUUCAACACCAGUUUCAGCUGAUAAUCCUGGAGAUAUCUUAAUGGGAGAAGCUAUUUUAAAGGAGGAGGAGGAGCUGCUUCACCUCCAAGAUACUUCUUUAACACCAGAUUCGAAGGAAAGUCCUGCAGAUGCCUUGAUGGAGAAGGCUGAGCUCGUGUGCCUCAAUGAUGUCACUACUUCAACAUCAUCAGAUUCUGAUACAAAUCCUGAACAUGUCUUAAAGGAAAC
rnacentral:lncRNA from 1 species